AGCACUGGGAACAGAAAACACAACCACUGAGUUAACUGCGGUGACAGAGUAGACAGCAGAUGACACAACCUGGACUCUGUAGUCAGGCUAUCCUCUGGGAAGGGAUCAGGAAAUGAACAGAUGACACUCUGGGGCACCUGGGUCCAACUUCGGCUCAAGUCAUGAUCUCAUGGUCUAUGAGUUGGAGCCCCGCAUCAGGCCCUGUGCUGACAGCUCGGAGCCUGGAGCCUGCUAAGGAUUCUGUGUCUCCUUCUCUCUCUGUCCCUCCCCCGCCCUCAAAAAUAAAUAAACAUUAAAAACAAAAUAAAAAAAAAAUAGAUGACACACUCUGAGCCUCUCAGGAGACACAGCUCUGAGGAUGAUCUGACCGCAAUGUGGUUGAGAAUGUCAGACUCAGAAGACUGAGUAGGAUUUGAUGACAAAGUGAUUGAGAGCACAGGUACCCGAGCUUGACUGACUUGGGUGUGUCUCAGUUUGCCUACUGACUAACUUCCCUACAGCUUUUUCUAUAGUAAAAUGGAGAUAAAUGUACCUACUCCGAAAGCCGUCGUGAAGACUGAGACAAGGCAUGGAAGGUGCAAUACGACUGGCAGCUAUUGUGUUGUCUUCCUUACCGCUCCUGAAGGGUCGUGUGAGGCUCUGAUGAGCGCCUGGCACACAGCUGAUGGCCAAUACAUGUUGGCUAUUAUUAGAGGGGCAGUACAGAUUAGAGGUUAGUUUAAAAGUGUGACUUUUGGAACCGGACUUUGUGGGUUAGAGCUCUGGGUCCUCCACUUCCUAGUUGCGUGUGAGCAGAUUUUUAACUUCUGUGCCUCAGGUCUCCUAUCUUGGAAUGGUAGCCAUAUCAGUCCUUCUCUCAGUAGGGCUGGCAUGAGGAUUAAAUGAGUUAAUAUGCACAAAGUACUGAGAACAGUGCUGAGAAAAUGGGAAAUGCUUCCUGAGUGCUAACUCUGAUAAGCAGAACUUCCCUGAAAAAGGCCUGUCAGGACAAACCGUGCCUGGAGACAUGCACAGGCAACACUUUAUAGCCUCUUCAUCUUAUGUUUAAAUAUCCACAAAGGGUACUUGCACUGUGACAUAUUCAGAAUGCUAAUGCUAUUCCACCUAAGUCUGGUUUCUAGUUCUUUCAAGAAAUCCCGGUAGGAAUUAGAAUGAUACCUUUCUGAGAGAAGAAUGCCAGUAGUUUCACUCCAUACUAGGAGAGAGUAGAAUGGUCAAAUGAGUCUGCAGCAGGAUUUCUGUAUAAUACAAAAUCCCACAAUCUGUAAUAAAGUGGACAUUCCCUAGCAAGUUUAACAGUGAUGUUCAUGUCUAGUAUUCAAAAUAAUGUUGAGGGGGCGCCUGGGGGGGUUCAGUCAGUCGAGUGUCCAACUCUUGAACUCUGGUCACAUAGGGUUGUGGGAUCGAGUCCUGCAUUGGGCUCUGCACUGAGUGUGGAGCCUGCUUAAGAUUCUUCCUCUUUCUCUUUCUCUUUCUUCCUCUCUCUUUCUCUCUCUCUCUCUCUCCCUCCCUCCCCCUUUUCCCUCUGCCCCAACUCACACUUGGUCUAAAAUAAGAAACAAAAACCAAAAAAACCCCAAAAAUAAUGUUGAUUAAUUAAUUCAUUGAAAAAUGAUGGCGGCAUCAAAACAGAUUUAUAAUUAAAUACCUUUCUUCACUCCACUAUUGCAAGGGAGGGGAGGAGAGUGGGUUACAUUUAUUUAUUAAAAAAAAUUUUUUUUAGAUCUUAUUUAUUUCUUAUUUACUCAUUCAUUCAGAGUAAUCUCUACCCUCAACGUGGGGCUCGAACUCAUGACCCUGAGAUCAAGAGUCAGAUGUUCUUCAGAUGGAGCGAGCUAGGCACCCUGACAGUGGGGUACAUUUAGCACUGAAACUGAACUCUGAAACUUCUCCUUUGGAAGGAAACAAGGGUUCAAAAGUUUGGGAUUCCCAAAUCUUCCUAAUCUGCAACAUCUCGAAAAUGAAAAUAUUUUCCACAGUGAAGAUCGAUGGCCCUUUACCUAAGUGGCCUUCCUAAUCUAACCUGUGUGAACAAUGCCAAUAGAGGCUGGUAGCUGGUGAAACACACUCUAGUUUUGAUACAGUAUGGAGAAAAGAGGCAUCGUUCAGCAUCAACAGCACAGACAUUUAGAGGUAGUGCUCCUUACUGCUUUCCUGUGCUCUCCGGCCGUGAGCAGGACCACACCGUCCUCUUGGAUCUCCAUCAGUCUGAUUAGUUCUGAUCUUUGCUCCUCCAUUAUGGACUUAGCAACUGGAGAAUUCCAGUUUCUAUUGGCUUUUGGGAAUACAGAACUGAAGAUGGUCUUCAUUCCCUCCCUCAACCCCUUCGAAAUGAUACUAAAUGAAUUACAAAAGGAAUCUCAACAUAAUGAAAAAAUGAAAGGGGAUAUAAGGUGGGGAAAUACUGCAGAUUUGUGGCAGGCUGCAAGGGAACAGAAUAGGAAGGAUCAAAGCAGCAAGACACAGGAAGCUCUGGCCUGGAGAAAAAUGGAGCGGCCUCAGCACAAGAAGGAACUGAUUUUAGCAGAAGCCUAGAGAGGCUCAGGACUCUUAGGAAGCUUUGGUUUCCCAGGGUAAUAGGCAACAACUCUGCUGCUCCCACUAAACUGAUCCUACCCAUUCACAAAGCCCUUCCGAGGACCCCGUGCUCCCAAACAGCUUUAAAAAAAAUCUUUUUAAGUAACCUCUAUACCCAAUGUGAGGCUUGAACUCAUGACCUCUGAGAUCACGCUUGUGAGUUCAAGCCCUGCAUCGGGCUCUGUGCUGAUGGUGUGAAGCCUGCUUGGGAUUCUCUCUCUCC